rnacentral:rRNA from 1 species
CCUACGGGAGGCAGCAGUGAGGAAUAUUGGUCAAUGGACGAGAGUCUGAACCAGCCAAGUAGCGUGAAGGAUGACUGCCCUAUGGGUUGUAAACUUCUUUUAUAUGGGAAUAAAACAGGGUAUGUAUACUCUUUUGUAUGUAUCAUAUGAAUAAGGAUCGGCUAACUCCGUGCCAGCAGCCGCGGUAAUACGGAGGAUCCGAGCGUUAUCCGGAUUUAUUGGGUUUAAAGGGAGCGUAGGUGGAUUGUUAAGUCAGUUGUGAAAGUUUGCGGCUCAACCGUAAAAUUGCAGUUGAUACUGGCAGUCUUUAGUACAAUAGAGGUGGGCAGAAUUCGUGGUGUAGCGGUGAAAUGCUUAGAUAUCACGAAGAACUCAGAUUGCGAAGGCAGCUCACUGGACUGCAACUGACAAUGAUGCUCGAAAGUGUGGGUAUCAAACAGGAUUAGAUACCCCAGUAGUC